GGCGGGAAGACCUGCUACUUCUGUUGUUCAGGCUUCAGGCAGUGAUCUGUGGAAGUUCUUGGGCACAAUACUUUAUCCCCUCUUAGCAGUUUGGAGAUUUAUUAGCAAUUUCCUGUUCACGAGUCCACCCCCCUCACAGUCUACUGUGAGAUCAGCUCAUCAGCAAGACCAUUCAAAUCCUUCAGCAUCUAGCAGCGCUGAGCAAAGCAGGCAAGCGGUCAGGAAACGAGUAGUGGAAAAGCGGGGAGAAGACUUCAAAAAAGAAGGCAAAAUAUAUAGACUGAGGACUCAAGACGAUGGAGAAGAUGAAAACAACACUUGGAAUGGAAAUUCUACACAACAAAUGUAGCUUUGACUAACUGCAGUAAUCGCUGUCUGGCUUUUUUUUUUUCUUAUUUGAUCUAAGUCAACUAAAGCUUCUGGACAAGUGGGGCUUAUUUUACACUGACUGAAUUACUUCAUUCUUUUCCUGCAGUGGAAUAUGGAAUAAAGUCACCGAAGUCAGAAAAAUCAAGUGGGCAUAGCUGAGACCUAGAAGCAAAGAGUUAAAAAGACUGAAAAUCUCCAUCACCUUUCAUAAUCAUUACCCUACUCCCAGAGAAAGGCACUUUUUAAUCUAUAAAUAUUCUGCUACAUAAAUUUAAGGGCCAUGUAUUAAUAGAAAGGUCAUGGUAGGCAAUGACUGAUUAAAAUGAGGGUUUCAGAAGCACUAUAGUAGCAAAUCAGGUAACUAAUUUAUGUUUAACUUUUUUCUUGCUUCUGCAACUGCAAGCAAAAUCUUGUAGUUUUUAAUUCCCCAAGCACUCAAUAAACUAUUUUCCA